rnacentral:lncRNA from 1 species
GUUCUAGAAGCAAAAACAUUUGCACAGAUCUAUUUUUGUGAUUAAGAAUGUUCAAUUUAUUCCAAAGGGAAAUUCAGUGUCAGUAUAAUUUUGAAAGAAGUUGAAAAGAGAUAACCAGUAGGUGAUACUAUGUAAAUGGGUGUGUUUAAAGCAGGUUCUUCACAGAGCACUGUGGCCUAGGUGUGGCUGUUCAUAAGGUUUCACAGACCACAUCCUCUUUUCAGAUUCAGCAAGAAAGAAACUCCCAUCUGCAUACCAGCUUCAGAAAUGGCAAACCUGGAAUUUCAGACUUCAGCAGGGGAUUUUCUUCCAUAUUCCUUAUGACACCUCAACCACACCUACUAAUAUUACAAGCUAUAUGCCUAAAUUCAGGAAGGAUGUGGGGACAACCCAACCACUUGAGUUACCCAGGGCAACCAUCCUGCACAACCAAGGCAGCUCACAAGCACAAUAUGAACGGCGUAACAUGGGCAUACAGAUGGCUCUGAAGAGUGUGUUAAAUUCAAUGGGAUUUUCUUUGCUCUACAAGGCCUCCCAGAAUCACUGUUUUGCUCCAAUUUUCUCAGCAUGCAUGGCUACAUCAGCCCUCUCUCAGCUAAGUCAGAGAGAGCUGAGAGCAUCUCUGUUCAAGCUAAUACAGUCUUCCAGAAAUGAGAGCACUGAAAAGUGAAAUGAAGGGAUGCAAAACAGUUUGGAGACAGCCAGGCUGUCCUUGACAUGGAUGACAAGCAGAUCCUGCUGCAACCUAAGCAGCUGCACACAGUGCUGCUCUCAUGCCUUUGCAUCAGAGGUCACAUGUAAACCUUCCCUUAUCCAAUUGUCACAGGUCUCUCUCCUCCCCUUCCCAUCUCCUGGGAGAUAAAAGCAGACUACUGGAGACAAAUCCUCAAACAGCCACCUUCUCAGAGAGACCAAACCAGCUGCAUGGAUUUUUUUGGGGUCAAGUGUUGGUUUUUAUUUUCUUCUUUCAGAGCUUGUUACUUUUGCCAAUAUUAUUUCCUAAAGAAAAUCCUACACUUGCUUUAACAGGUAGUACUAAAAUACUCACCAGUCCUCUGAAAGCUCAAAACCAACCUAGUCUAUGAAUGCAAGAGAAGACAUAUCAAUGAACAAUAAAAAAACCCACACAACAACCUAAAUAAAACCU